GGCCUCGUGGCGCAACGGUAGCGCGUUCGACUCCAGAUCGAAAGGUUAUCCGUUCAAAUCGGGUCGGGUUCA
rnacentral:tRNA from 1 species